UGUGUUGAUACAGGGGAGACAGAUGGACAUCUGUGGAUUAGGUGAAGGAGGGGUUGAGGUCAGGAGGUGAGGACAGAGAUGUGUUGAUACAGGGGAGACAGAUGGACAUCUGUGGAUUAGGUGAAGGAGGGGUUGAGGUCAGGAGGUGAGGACAGAGAUGUGUUGAUACAGGGGAGACAGAUGGACAUCUGUGGAUUAGGUGAAGGAGGGGUUGAGGUCAGGAGGUGAGGACAGUGAUGUGUUGAUACAGGGGAGACAGAUGGACAUCUGUGGAUUAGGUGAAGGAGGGGUUGAGGUCAGGAGGUGAGGACAGAGAUGUGUUGAUACAGGGGAGACAGAUGGACAUCUGUGGAUUAGGUGAAGGAGGGGUUGAGGUCAGGAGGUGAGGACAGCGAUGUGUUGAUACAGGGGAGACAGAUGGACAUCUGUGGAUUAGGUGAAGGAGGGGUUGAGGUCAGGAGGUGAGGACAGUGAU